CAAACUCUGCACAGUGAAGCUCAAACAUCCAGCUGUAGAAACAAGAAGAAAAACACAGUUUUUGAAUGGAGAGGGGGCGUUAAGUAAAGAAAGCUCACAAGACACUGUUUUUACUUACACUAUUUAACUCUUGUCACUCACUUUUUCUGUAUGUCCAUCCCCUGUUUUGUAAGAUGAAUUUCAGCACUGCAAAUUUGUUUUGAGAAAAACAAUAACUGAGCUUCGAAUAAAACAAAAUGACAACAAGCAAACACUCAUGUUAAUUACUUGUGAAACCACUGAUGCUCAAAUCAUACUAUUUCAUGGUGUGGGCACAGAUUUGUUAUUCAUAACUCACACUGCAGUUGAUACAACCACAAUUUACAACAAUUCAACACCAUAGAGAUCAAUUCAAUUCAACACUUACGAGAUCCAGAGAACCCCUCUGUUAUAUAUACUGUAGGUAUUAUGGCACAUAUUGAUUUUUAUUGUUGGACAAGCCCUGAUGAUUAAAACUACUUUUCAUCUCUGAAGUUAUAAAACCAAAUUUCAAUGCACAAAGGCCCAGUGUCCUCAUGCAGCCCCACAGAAAUCAGUAACAUACCAUAACAUGCACACCAUUUGCUCUAAAUGGCCCGUUUUAUUUAAUUUGGCUGCAUCACAGUGGAUUCAUUUUCACAGACAGACCGGGCUUUUUGUAUACAUAUAGUAGCACACCAGCCUUGAAAUAAUCCACCGUAUUAUUGUUUAAUAUGUUUGGGUGCUCACCACUUCUAAACUUUGAAACAAAGAUCAAACGGUGUUGAAGCCAAACACUGCCGUGAGAGAUUUGAAAAGUAGAGGCUUUGUAGCUUAGAUGUAUCAUUACACCUGCUUUUUUGUGUUAUCUAAUUCUUGAGGACAAUCUGUUCUCAUAGUUUACUGAUAAAAUGGUGAUAUUUUUGUACGCAAUAUUGUGCAAACAGGGACAUGUCUUGGUUGUGCAAUACUUAUAGCAUAUUUAUUGUUUUCCGGAGCAGCUGUCAUGUGGUCAUGACAGGGGAUUACCCCCAAUCUUAGAGUGAGAUCAUAAUGUUCUUCUUGACAAAUAGACUUUUUUUUCCUCUUCAUUAGUUUACUCAAUCGGUAUGAUUGGGAGUCUGUGUGGAUGUUUCACAAUUGCACAUUAGGCCUAAUGAUGAAACUAUGCACUCUGUUGAAAUUAAACAAAACUGCAGGUUCACACAUUCAUCAUUUUGUGCAUAAAAUAGUCACCACAUUUAUUCAUUUUAAAAAAAAAGCUGUGGGAAUGUUUUGCUGUUUAUACUUUGUCAUGUCAAAAUUCGGAGGGAAAAAUGUGAAAAGAUUCCCUUAAAUUCAUCAGAAAUGUUCCAGAUAUAGGCUAUCUCAGGAGUUAGAGCUUUUGCAAUGAAUUAUUUUGGUGCUGUAAUUAUCCCUCAACCUGCCUCAUCUAUUUUUACCUGUUGGUGAUGUCAAAGUGUGACAUCACUCUGUCAGCAUUUGUCAUUAAAUUAAAAAAACAAAAACAAAACACUACCAAGCAACAAAACAUGUCCAAAAAUUCAAAGAGCAUUGCCAGUUGCAGUUUUUAACCAGCAUUGAAGAGUCUGACAAUGUGACAGAUGCCUUGAAAACUGUAAGAACAGUGUGGUGAUGAAUGAAAUCAUUUCACUGUACACAAGAUAGAGUAUUCUCAAAGAGCUGACACUGAUGUGUUUCCUCCUCUUUACAGGAAGGAAAUUAAUUCUGUUGUCGAGAGCCAACUCCCUCGCCAUUUGUCAUGACAUCUGUUUCUUGCAGGGAAUAAACAAAAAAACAAAAAAAAACUGAGAGGAAUGUUGAAAUGAAAUGAAAUGUUGAGGGCUGCCAUGAUGUUCAUCUCUGGAGCUCCCACCGGUUGCAACUUUAAAGAGGCUCUGUGGCUCCCUCAUCGAAAACUAUGCCUGUGUGAGGUAUAUUUGAAGACAUGCAUUCUCAUACAUUAUGGAUUCUAUGAGAUCACCCCCCCCCCCCAAACACACAACACGGGACCGCAAGCUUCUGUCUGUCGUCUCUGGAAAGUUGACACUUUCUUCAAAGGCCUGAAAGUCAUAGAAGUAUUCCACAAGCACAGCUGACCUUUGAAUGCAUCAGAUCAGUGAAACAACACAUCUGGUAAAGCUGCAGUGUUUUGUGAGAGGAGAGAUAAAGAGACUAUUAAACAGAGGCAGGACUCUUGACUAGUGGUGCACCGUUUUCAGCUUAGAGAAGUGGAUUCACCGGAGGAUUUAACUAAUGAUGUCUCUGUCAGUGGCCCAAGAUGAUCAAACGGUUUUAAGCUAAAGGGCUUCGUGUUAUCAGAAUCAAGAAUAGUCUCCUCCAAGAGUGAUGGGAAACACACUCAUUCUCACCCCUCAUUUUACUCAUGAUUAAAUCACAUUACACUCAUUUCCUUUCCCUAAAGCCUUUUCUUUGGAAAAUCUGUUUUCAUCCACUGCUUCACUCCUGUGCCAGUGGUCUUGUAAUCACAUCAGCGUGUCUAUGUUGGCUCGUGAGCAAAAAUUAGAACACAUGAAGUCAAAAGAUUUAAGAGGGAGGAGAGUUUUCAACAUGGAAAGAUGGACUAGACGAGCUUAAUCGGUAGAGAUUUAUCCAAGACAUCGCUCAUACACUGGCAUGCCAUUUCCGGACUUCUUGAGUAAAAACCCUUCCUGGGAAGUUACCCAAAUACUUCCCUAAGAGUCAGAUUAGGUCUGCUAAAUCAUACUUGCUCUUACUGUAGCUCAGCUGGGCAACUUUAAUUGUUUUGCCACUUUAAAUUUUCCACUUUUUCACAAGGAUUUUUUUUCACCGUUGCAGGACACGUCUAUAUAGAAACAGCUUUAUCAAAACCACAUUGUUCAUCAUAGAAGGAAGGAAUCAAUGACGGAGGGCAAAGCCAGACUGAAAGAGAGAAAAUAUUGACUUUCUCUGAAAAUCUGAACACACUGUAUUCCCUCAGGCAAAUGCAAAGACAAAACCCAUUCAAAGUAGAAUCAUUCACACCAAAUGGAAACUCUGAUUUAAUUAUGAAUAUGGAAAAGAGGAUACUAACUUACAUUUAACACCCUUGGAUUACAUUUUUUCCUAAUGGCUGGUAACAGCUGGAGAAGACAGCUAAAAUGAUGACAGACGGUAGGCAAACAGAAGGGAACAUUUGGAUUGUCAAGCUCUUGGCAUUCUCCUCCUUCUCAGGCACAGUAGCUGUCUGACGUCUGGGUAAUUUUGUGUUUUAGCUCAGAGGAUUUAGACCGAGGUUAGCAGAGGGAAACAGCUGGUGUUACAGUCAUAAUGUAAAUAUUCUGCAUGUAGCACAAAACAAUCAUGCAAAGAUGUUCAACAAGUCUUGUUCUCGGUAAUGGCGCUGUUGAAGUUUUUAUGACUUCCACUUCCUGUCAUUGAGCUGACCCAGAGAUGAGGUGGUACAGUACAGAUCACGUAUGAAUUCCCAAACAGGGAAGCCUUGAACCUCUGAGGACUUGCUGCCCUUAACCUGACUUUCACUUUCUACAGCUGAUUAAAAGACCAUUACAAGUUGGCCCCUUCUGCCGGCUGACUGCCGCCUGGUACUGAAGAAAUCAGUUUUAUCUCCUCUUGCCUUGGCUGGAGUUCCUGCUGCGCUGGAGGAUGCAGUAAAACAAAGCAUCUAAGAGAGACGUCAAGUAAAACUCUGAUGAUUCAAGCAAACGCAGGAUGUCUGAUAAGUCUCCAGGACCUGCUUUUGCUUUCAUUUUACCCUCUUUCUAUUUUUUUUUUCUACUCACUGCAAGGCAAUAAUGUUCCCAACAGAUUAACAGAUUCACACAUACAAAAACACAUAUGCUUCAAAAAGUACUUAAUUUCACCAUAUAACCCUGUCAUUUAUAAAGCUGGUGAAGUUGGCAAGACAUGUAAUAAAAUUUACAAGAGCUAGAGCUCAUAGAAAAUUGGCUCCAGUUAAAAAUUAAUAGGAGCGGUCUUCUGAAGGGCACUUGCAUGGUUAUUUCUCCAUUCAAACACACAGUUCAGAUAUUAAAGAUAAAGUGUUCAGAGAGAUAUUUUAAUAUUUUAAACUAUAAAAGAUUUUUUUUGUUGAAUUGGUUUACCCACUGUUUUCUAACAUACAUAGAACAAUGAAAGCAUUGCUGUAGUUACAUCUAAAAAGGAUGACAAUACUGAACUAUACAGCCCACAUACUUUACUUAGAACACUCAACUUUAAUGCAACGUUCAGAGAAAAAAAAGCAGAGGUUUGAAUAUGCAGCAGUAGCGUGUUGUGUGUAGGUGCAAAUAUCAGGCCUGUUGCCACUUUGGUUUAUAAAUAAACUGACUUGGUAAAUUCCCACCACUGCUUCAGUAGCUGCUCAGGAUAUAGACAGAUACAUAUCAAUAUUUAACGAUAAAAUGUGGUUUUGCUUCAUUAUUCAGAAUGCACUGUUUUUAUAUAGUUUGUGUGUGUGUGUGUGUGUUGUUUAUUGGACAUUAGAAACCUCAAGUGAGAGGGAUAUAAAUAUAUUUUGACACAAAAAAAGUCCUACUAUUAAUGUGGCUCUGUCAGUGAAGGCAAACAUUGAAGAUAUACCUCAGCCAUGGCUGAAGGACUGAUUGGUCAUAACAUUAUAUGUGUAUUUUUUCACAUCAUAUGCACUGGGUGAAGAAUUGCUGAAAAGGAAGGUUACCAUGUUGGGGACAGUGAGAAAAAACAAGCCAGAGCUUCCCUCUGCACAGCAAGGUCACAUCCUCAAUAUUUGCCUUCACUAACACAACCGCUGUGGUUUCCUAUUGCCCCAAGAAAGGGAAAAAUAUCCUGCUGAUGAGAACCAUGCACAAAGAUGCUGUCCUGAGCACCAGAGAAGACAGAAAACCCCAAAUGGUCUUAGACUACGAGACAAAGGGAGGGGUUGAUAACCUGGACAAGGUCACAGCCACAUACAGCUGCUCAUGCAUGACUGCCCGUUGGCCCCUUGUCAUUUUCUUCUUCUUUGUGAAAUAAACAAGGACUGGAACGAUGGAAAACUGAGUGGAAGGAGGAUUUUCCUGGAGCAUCUGGGUUAUGGGCUGAUGAAGCCUCAUAUCGAGACAAGACGGUGCCUUCCAAGAGCAUCAACAGCUGCUGCAACUGUUGUGAAGGACAUCCAAACGGAGACACACACCCCAACUCCCCCCGUGGUUCAAACUGCAGGCAGGAAACGUGGCAGGUCCCAGGUCUAUCCCAACAGAAAUGACUCCGAGACCAGCAACACCUGUGUGAAAUGCAGGAAAUAUGUCUGCAUGGAGCACACACACACUCUCUGCACAUCAUGUGCACAGUAGAGGCUAGACUGUACCUUCUGGUAUUUCUGUGGCCUGUGGGAAAAAUAAUAUGCUGCUCAUAUUCUGUCUAUGCUGUUUGUAUUCUGUCAAACUCAUUUUGGUGACUACAUAACUUUGUUUUUUACUAUCUCACAUAUUUAUACAUAUACACAUACAUAUUUGCUUAUAUAGCACUUACAGUAGCAUAGAACCCCUGACGCAAUGCUCAAAUUUAUUUUUUAUAGGUGUUUUUUUGUAAAUAAAGAACUGUUAUGUGAUGAUCUGAU